CCACCAAGCAAGCAACACCAUGAUACCAAGGAGCUCUCCAAACAGAAGCAGUGUAAAUUCAGAUGCAUAUCCCAGAUUAAACCAAGGAAUCCUCUUUUAAAGAAGCAUUCUCUACGCCCUGACUGGUUAGUCUUCUCUACAUUCUGAUACUACUACCCUGGUGUGACCUGAGGCUCAGCCGACGUCAUGGCUAUCUCUCCUACCGUAACCCUCCACCUGGACGAUGGUGUGGUGCGUGGCCUGGACCUGCAGUCUUGUGCUGUCCAGCUGUGUAAAGGACAUGGUCACUGUGUGGCUCAGGGACAGGUCACCACCUGUGAGUGUAUCCUGGGGUACAGAGGAGAGUUCUGCCAUGAGAGUGUCAAUGAGGCAAUCGGUGUUCCGCUCACCCUGGGGGUAGUGGCCUUUAUCGUUGGCAUCCUCAUCCUCUCCUUCCUCAUUGCAUUCAUCAGGCAGAGGGUCAAGGUCAAAAGGAAAGCUGCAGCCAAGGAUUCAAGUGGUUUAGAAAAAGACAUUCUGUAGCAUCAAGGUUUGGUUGACGGUCCAACAUCAGAGCACAUCCCCUUCAUCAGGCUUUAUCCCCGGUAUAAACAAUUAUAUACUGUAGUACUAUUUAUAUAAACAACUAUUUACUGUAGUACUCUUCAUAUGAACUACAUGCGUUAGUGUUAACUACUAUACCAUAGCACUACUUAUAUAAACAACUAUGCUGUGGUACUAAUAGAAAUCCAUAUAUGGUGGGACGACUCGUGAAAAGUAA
ensembl:lncRNA